rnacentral:rRNA from 1 species
AGUGAACGCUGGCGGUAGGCCUAACACAUGCAAGUCGAACGGCAGCACAGUAAGAGCUUGCUCUUACGGGUGGCGAGUGGCGGACGGGUGAGGAAUACAUCGGAAUCUACUUUUUCGUGGGGGAUAACGUAGGGAAACUUACGCUAAUACCGCAUACGACCUACGGGUGAAAGCAGGGGAUCUUCGGACCUUGCGCGAUUGAAUGAGCCGAUGUCGGAUUAGCUAGUUGGCGGGGUAAGGGCCCACCAAGGCGACGAUCCGUAGCUGGUCUGAGAGGAUGAUCAGCCACACUGGAACUGAGACACGGUCCAGACUCCUACGGGAGGCAGCAGUGGGGAAUAUUGGACAAUGGGCGCAAGCCUGAUCCAGCCAUACCGCGUGGGUGAAGAAGGCCUUCGGGUUGUAAAGCCCUUUUGUUGGGAAAGAAAAGCAGCAGGUUAAUACCCCGCUGUUCUGACGGUACCCAAAGAAUAAGCACCGGCUAACUGCGU